rnacentral:rRNA from 1 species
GACGAACGCUGGCGGCGUGCUUAACACAUGCAAGUCGAGCGGAAAGGCCACUUCGGUGGUACUCGAGCGGCGAACGGGUGAGUAACACGUGAGUAAUCUGCCCUUGGCUUCGGGAUAGCCACCGGAAACGGUGAUUAAUACCGGAUAUGACCACUUCGUGCAUGCGAUGGUGGUGGAAAGUUUUUCGGCCAGGGAUGUGCUCGCGGCCUAUCAGCUUGAUGGUGAGGUAAUGGCUCACCAUGGCUUCGACGGGUAGCCGGCCUGAGAGGGUGACCGGUCACACUGGGACUGAGACACGGCCCAGACUCCUACGGGAGGCAGCAGUGGGGAAUAUUGGACAAUGGGCGGAAGCCUGAUCCAGCAACGCCGCGUGAGGGAUGACGGCCUUCGGGUUGUAGACCUCUUUCAGUACCGACGAAGCGCAAGUGACGGUAGGUACAGAAGAAGCACCGGCCAACUACGUGCCAGCAGCCGCGGUAAUACGUAGGGUGCGAGCGUUGUCCGGAAUUAUUGGGCGUAAAGGGCUCGUAGGCGGUUUGUCGCGUCGGGAGUGAAAACCAGGUGCUUAACACCUGGCUUGCUUUCGAUACGGGCAGACUAGAGGUAUUCAGGGGAGAACGGAAUUCCUGGUGUAGCGGUGAAAUGCGCAGAUAUCAGGAGGAACACCGGUGGCGAAGGCGGUUCUCUGGGAAUAUCCUGACGCUGAGGAGCGAAAGUGUGGGGAGCGAACAGGAUUAGAUACCCUGGUAGUCCACACCGUAAACGUUGGGCGCUAGGUGUGGGGUCCAUUCCACGGAUUCCGUGCCGCAGCUAACGCAUUAAGCGCCCCGCCUGGGGAGUACGGCCGCAAGGCUAAAACUCAAAGGAAUUGACGGGGGCCCGCACAAGCGGCGGAGCAUGCGGAUUAAUUCGAUGCAACGCGAAGAACCUUACCUGGGUUUGACAUACACCCUGCCGCUCCAGAGAUGGGGCUUCUUUUGGGGGUGUACAGGUGGUGCAUGGCUGUCGUCAGCUCGUGUCGUGAGAUGUUGGGUUAAGUCCCGCAACGAGCGCAACCCUCGUUCUAUGUUGCCAGCAUGCCCUUCGGGGUGAUGGGGACUCAUAGGAGACUGCCGGGGUCAACUCGGAGGAAGGUGGGGAUGACGUCAAGUCAUCAUGCCCCUUAUGUCCAGGGCUUCACGCAUGCUACAAUGGCCGGUACAAAGGGUUGCGAUCCCGUAAGGGGGAGCGAAUCCCAAAAAGCCGGUCUCAGUUCGGAUUGGGGUCUGCAACUCGACUCCAUGAAGUCGGAGUCGCUAGUAAUCGCAGAUCAGCAACGCUGCGGUGAAUACGUUCCCGGGCCU